rnacentral:tRNA from 1 species
GGGGUUGUAGCUCAGUGGUAGAGCGCUUGCCUCGCAUGCAUGAGGCACUGGGUUCAAUCCUCAGUACCACA